GACGAACGCUGGCGGCGCGCUUAACACAUGCAAGUCGUACGGUUUCACUCUUUCGGGGGUGGAGCAGUGGCGGACGGGUGCGUAACACGUGAGCGACCUGCCGAGGUGCGGGGGACAACCGGUGGAAACGCCGGCUAAUACCGCAUGAUGUCUUCUUCCCGCAUGGGGGGAUGACCAAAGGUCCUGCAAGGGACCGCGCCUCGAGGGGCUCGCGGGGUAUCAGGUAGUUGGUGGGGUAAUGGCNCACCAAGCCGACGACGCCUAGCCGGUCUGAGAGGAUGACCGGCCACAUUGGGACUGAGAUACGGCCCAGACUCCUACGGGAGGCAGCAGUGGGGAAUCUUGCGCAAUGGCCGAAAGGCUGACGCAGCGACGCCGCGUGGGGA
rnacentral:rRNA from 1 species